rnacentral:rRNA from 1 species
AUUGAUCGCUGGCGGCAGGCCUAACACAUGCAAGUCGAACGGUAACAGGAAGAAGCUUGCUUCUUUGCUGACGAGUGGCGGACGGGUGAGUAAUGUCUGGGAAACUGCCUGAUGGAGGGGGAUAACUACUGGAAACGGUAGCUAAUACCGCAUAACGUCGCAAGACCAAAGAGGGGGACCUUCGGGCCUCUUGCCAUCGGAUGUGCCCAGAUGGGAUUAGCUAGUAGGUGGGGUAACGGCUCACCUAGGCGACGAUCCCUAGCUGGUCUGAGAGGAUGACCAGCCACACUGGAACUGAGACACGGUCCAGACUCCUACGGGAGGCAGCAGUGGGGAAUAUUGCACAAUGGGCGCAAGCCUGAUGCAGCCAUGCCGCGUGUAUGAAGAAGGCCUUCGGGUUGUAAAGUACUUUCAGCGGGGAGGAAGGGAGUAAAGUUAAUACCUUUGCUCAUUGACGUUACCCGCAGAAGAAGCACCGGCUAACUCCGUG